rnacentral:rRNA from 1 species
UACGUAGGGUGCAAGCGUUGUCCGGAAUUAUUGGGCGUAAAGAGCUCGUAGGCGGUCUGUUGCGUCGGCUGUGAAAACCCGGGGCUCAACUCCGGGCCUGCAGCCGAUACGGGCAGACUAGAGUUCGGCAGGGGAGACUGGAAUUCCUGGUGUAGCGGUGAAAUGCGCAGAUAUCAGGAGGAACACCGGUGGCGAAGGCGGGUCUCUGGGCCGAUACUGACGCUGAGGAGCGAAAGUGUGGGGAGCGAACAGG